rnacentral:lncRNA from 1 species
GUUUUGGACAAGAUGAUUUUCAAAGUUUUCCCUAUAUAAGUCUUUAUAGUGUGGCAUUGGUCUGCUUAUGCGUCAAGUGUGGUGUGCUGUGUGUUGUGUGCUUGUCACCUUCCGCUUUCAGCCUCCACCGCUGGCUAGCCUUCUGGUGAAAAAGGAGCCUAGUACGUAAGUCUUCCCUGCCAGUACAUAGCC